GACGAACCGUGCGAACGUUGUUCGGAAUCACUGGGCUUAAAGGGCGCGUAGGCGGACUGUCAAGUCAGGGGUGAAAUCCUGCGGCUCAACCGUAGAAGUGCCUUUGAUACUGAUGGUCUCGAGGGAGAUAGGGGCGUGCGGAACUUCCGGUGGAGCGGUGAAAUGCGUAGAUAUCGGAAGGAACACCGGUGGCGAAAGCGGCGCGCUGGACCUCUUCUGACGCUGAGGCGCGAAAGCCAGGGGAGCGAACGGG
rnacentral:rRNA from 1 species